UACGGAGGGGGCUAGCGUUGUUCGGAAUUACUGGGCGUAAAGCGCACGUAGGCGGAUAUUUAAGUCAGGGGUGAAAUCCCGGGGCUCAACCCCGGAACUGCCUUUGAUACUGGGUAUCUGGAGGUCGAGAGAGGCGAGUGGAAUUCCGAGUGUAGAGGUGAAAUUCGUAGAUAUUCGCAAGAACACCAGUGGCGAAGGCGGCUUACUGGUCCGGUUCUGACGCUGAGGCGCGAAAGCGUGGGGAGCAAACAGG
rnacentral:rRNA from 1 species